GAUGAACGCUGGCGGCGUGCCUAAUACAUGCAAGUCGAACGCUUUGUGGUUCAACUGAUUUGAAGAGCUUGCUCAGAUAUGACGAUGAACAUUGCAAAGAGUGGCGAACGGGUGAGUAACACGUGGGAAACCUACCUCUUAGCAGGGGAUAACAUUUGGAAACAGAUGCUAAUACCGUAUAACAAUGACAACCGCAUGGUUGUUAUUUAAAAGAUGGUUCUGCUAUCACUAAGAGAUGGUCCCGCGGUGCAUUAGCUAGUUGGUAAGGUAAUGGCUUACCAAGGCGAUGAUGCAUAGCCGAGUUGAGAGACUGAUCGGCCACAAUGGGACUGAGACACGGCCCAUACUCCUACGGGAGGCAGCAGUAGGGAAUCUUCCACAAUGGGCGAAAGCCUGAUGGAGCAACGCCGCGUGUGUGAUGAAGGGUUUCGGCUCGUAAAACACUGUUGUAAGAGAAGAAUGACAUUGAGAGUAACUGUUCAAUGUGUGACGGUAUCUUACCAGAAAGGAACGGCUAAAUACGUGCCAGCAGCCGCGGUAAUACGUAUGUUCCAAGCGUUAUCCGGAUUUAUUGGGCGUAAAGCGAGCGCAGACGGUUAUUUAAGUCUGAAGUGAAAGCCCUCAGCUCAACUGAGGGAAUUGCUUUGGAAACUGGAUGACUUGAGUGCAGUAGAGGAAAGUGGAACUCCAUGUGUAGCGGUGAAAUGCGUAGAUAUAUGGAAGAACACCAGUGGCGAAGGCGGCUUUCUGGACUGUAACUGACGUUGAGGCUCGAAAGUGUGGGUAGCAAACAGGAUUAGAUACCCUGGUAGUCCACACCGUAAACGAUGAGUGCUAGGUGUUUGAGGGUUUCCGCCCUUAAGUGCCGCAGCUAACGCAUUAAGCACUCCGCCUGGGGAGUACGACCGCAAGGUUGAAACUCAAAGGAAUUGACGGGGACCCGCACAAGCGGUGGAGCAUGUGGUUUAAUUCGAAGCAACGCGAAGAACCUUACCAGGUCUUGACAUCCCUUGACAACUCCAGAGAUGGAGCGUUCCCUUCGGGGACAAGGUGACAGGUGGUGCAUGGUUGUCGUCAGCUCGUGUCGUGAGAUGUUGGGUUAAGUCCCGCAACGAGCGCAACCCUUAUUACUAGUUGCCAGCAUUCAGUUGGGCACUCUAGUGAGACUGCCGGUGACAAACCGGAGGAAGGUGGGGAUGACGUCAAAUCAUCAUGCCCCUUAUGACCUGGGCUACACACGUGCUACAAUGGCGUAUACAACGAGUUGCCAACCCGCGAGGGUGAGCUAAUCUCUUAAAGUACGUCUCAGUUCGGAUUGUAGGCUGCAACUCGCCUACAUGAAGUCGGAAUCGCUAGUAAUCGCGGAUCAGCACGCCGCGGUGAAUACGUUCCCGGGUCUUGUACACACCGCCCGUCACACCAUGAGAGUUUGUAACACCCAAAGCCGGUGGGGUAACCUUCGGGAGCCAGCCGUCUAAGGUGGGACAGAUGAUUAGGGUG
rnacentral:rRNA from 1 species